rnacentral:rRNA from 1 species
GGAAUUACUGGGCGUAAAGCGCGCGUAGGCGGCUUUGUAAGUUAGAGGUGAAAGCCCGGAGCUCAACUCCGGAACUGCCUUUAAAACUGCAUCGCUUGAAUCCAGGAGAGGUGAGUGGAAUUCCGAGUGUAGAGGUGAAAUUCGUAGAUAUUCGGAAGAACACCAGUGGCGAAGGCGGCUCACUGGACUGGUAUUGACGCUGAGGUGCGAAAGCGUGGGGAGCAAACAGG